rnacentral:rRNA from 1 species
AGAUUAAGUUAUUAAGGGCGCACGGUGGAUGCCUUGGCACUAGAAGCCGAUGAAGGACGUUACUAACGACGAUAUGCUUUGGGGAGCUGUAAGUAAGCUUUGAUCCAGAGAUUUCCGAAUGGGGAAACCCAGCAUGAGUUAUGUCAUGUUAUCGAUAUGUGAAUACAUAGCAUAUCAGAAGGCACACCCGGAGAACUGAAACAUCUUAGUACCCGGAGGAAGAGAAAGAAAAUUCGAUUCCCUUAGUAGCGGCGAGCGAAACGGGAAGAGCCCAAACCAACAAGCUUGCUUGUUGGGGUUGUAGGACACUCUAUACGGAGUUACAAAGGACGACAUUAGACGAAUCAUCUGGAAAGAUGAAUCAAAGAAGGUAAUAAUCCUGUAGUCGAAAAUGUUGUCUCUCUUGAGUGGAUCCUGAGUACGACGGAGCACGUGAAAUUCCGUCGGAAUCUGGGAGGACCAUCUCCUAAGGCUAAAUACUCUCUAGUGACCGAUAGUGAACCAGUACCGUGAGGGAAAGGUGAAAAGCACCCCGGAAGGGGAGUGAAAUAGAACCUGAAACCGUGUGCUUACAAGUAGUCAGAGCCCGUUAAUGGGUGAUGGCGUGCCUUUUGUAGAAUGAACCGGCGAGUUACGAUUUGAUGCAAGGUUAAGCAGUAAAUGUGGAGCCGUAGCGAAAGCGAGUCUGAAUAGGGCGUUUAGUAUUUGGUCGUAGACCCGAAACCAGGUGAUCUACCCUUGGUCAGGUUGAAGUUCAGGUAACACUGAAUGGAGGACCGAACCGACUUACGUUGAAAAGUGAGCGGAUGAACUGAGGGUAGCGGAGAAAUUCCAAUCGAACCUGGAGAUAGCUGGUUCUCUCCGAAAUAGCUUUAGGGCUAGCCUCAAGUGAUGAUUAUUGGAGGUAGAGCACUGUUUGGACGAGGGGCCCCUCUCGGGUUACCGAAUUCAGACAAACUCCGAAUGCCAAUUAAUUUAACUUGGGAGUCAGAACAUGGGUGAUAAGGUCCGUGUUCGAAAGGGAAACAGCCCAGACCACCAGCUAAGGUCCCAAAAUAUAUGUUAAGUGGAAAAGGAUGUGGCGUUGCCCAGACAACUAGGAUGUUGGCUUAGAAGCAGCCAUCAUUUAAAGAGUGCGUAAUAGCUCACUAGUCGAGUGACACUGCGCCGAAAAUGUACCGGGGCUAAACAUAUUACCGAAGCUGUGGAUUGUCCUUUGGACAAUGGUAGGAGAGCGUUCUAAGGGCGUUGAAGCAUGAUCGUAAGGACAUGUGGAGCGCUUAGAAGUGAGAAUGCCGGUGUGAGUAGCGAAAGACGGGUGAGAAUCCCGUCCACCGAUUGACUAAGGUUUCCAGAGGAAGGCUCGUCCGCUCUGGGUUAGUCGGGUCCUAAGCUGAGGCCGACAGGCGUAGGCGAUGGAUAACAGGUUGAUAUUCCUGUACCACCUAUAAUCGUUUUAAUCGAUGGGGGGACGCAGUAGGAUAGGCGAAGCGUGCGAUUGGAUUGCACGUCUAAGCAGUAAGGCUGAGUAUUAGGCAAAUCCGGUACUCGUUAAGGCUGAGCUGUGAUGGGGAGAAGACAUUGUGUCUUCGAGUCGUUGAUUUCACACUGCCGAGAAAAGCCUCUAGAUAGAAAAUAGGUGCCCGUACCGCAAACCGACACAGGUAGUCAAGAUGAGAAUUCUAAGGUGAGCGAGCGAACUCUCGUUAAGGAACUCGGCAAAAUGACCCCGUAACUUCGGGAGAAGGGGUGCUCUUUAGGGUUAACGCCCAGAAGAGCCGCAGUGAAUAGGCCCAAGCGACUGUUUAUCAAAAACACAGGUCUCUGCUAAACCGUAAGGUGAUGUAUAGGGGCUGACGCCUGCCCGGUGCUGGAAGGUUAAGAGGAGUGGUUAGCUUCUGCGAAGCUACGAAUCGAAGCCCCAGUAAACGGCGGCCGUAACUAUAACGGUCCUAAGGUAGCGAAAUUCCUUGUCGGGUAAGUUCCGACCCGCACGAAAGGCGUAACGAUUUGGGCACUGUCUCAACGAGAGACUCGGUGAAAUCAUAGUACCUGUGAAGAUGCAGGUUACCCGCGACAGGACGGAAAGACCCCGUGGAGCUUUACUGUAGCCUGAUAUUGAAAUUCGGCACAGCUUGUACAGGAUAGGUAGGAGCCUUUGAAACGUGAGCGCUAGCUUACGUGGAGGCGCUGGUGGGAUACUACCCUAGCUGUGUUGGCUUUCUAACCCGCACCACUUAUCGUGGUGGGAGACAGUGUCAGGCGGGCAGUUUGACUGGGGCGGUCGCCUCCUAAAAGGUAACGGAGGCGCUCAAAGGUUCCCUCAGAAUGGUUGGAAAUCAUUCAUAGAGUGUAAAGGCAUAAGGGAGCUUGACUGCGA